UCUGGUGGCGAUGCGCUUAGGGGAAACACCCGUCCACAUCCCGAACACGAUGGUUAAGACCUAAGCGGCCGAUGGUACUACGCUGGAGACGGCAUGGGAGAGUAGGUGGCUGCCAGAU
rnacentral:rRNA from 13 species